CCUUUACAGUUUUUUCACUUAGGUUAAUUCAAUUUACAUUGCCAAAAAUUCCCUCCACUGCCAAAAUUUUAUUCCCCGCCUAACGCAAACCUUCGCCUUCUUGCUUCCUUCUUCCCGUUGCACCGCCGUGCUUGGGGUUGCUGCUUGCUCCGUUCUUGGCUCUCUAUUCUUCGCUGCUUGCUCUGUUCUUGGCUCCGUUCUUGGAUCCGUUCUUGGCUCCGUUCAUUGUUUCAUUCAUUCCUCCGUUCAAUUGCUCCGUCCUUGGCUCCGUUCUCGGCUUUGUUCUUCGCUCCGUUCUCCUUUCUUGCCUUCGCCGUUCUUGCACUGUCAUUUUCUUGCACCUUCGUCGCUCGUGCACCGCCGUCGCUCCUGCAACGCCGUUCUUCUUGCACCGCCACCGCCGUCGCUUAUGCUUUGUUCUUCGAGCGAUACGAUUCAACUUGGAGCUAGUGAGGAGUGUAGCGAUCGAAAUUAAUAGCUUGCUUUGAUAUUGGAAUUCAUGAACAAACCAAGGGAGCGUUCCUUCACGACUGAUGAAAUAAAAUGUGUUCGAGACAAGUUGGCACGAUUUAUUACUAAUGAAUGUCUUUGAUUGUUCUCUUUAAUUUUUUAGCAUUAUUAUGAAUCUAAUAUUGUAGUUUGCUACCUUUUUCCAUUAACAAUUUAGAUACAAUAUGUUUUAUCCCGUUGUUUGAUGUUUAUUUUGAUUUUUUUUCACUUGUGUUUUUGAAUGGUGUAUGGAUGAACCAAGGGCAUGUUUA